GAAAUGCGAUAAGUAAUGUGAAUUGCAGAAUUCCGUGAAUCAUCGAAUCUUUGAACGCACAUUGCGCCCUCUGGCAUUCCGGGGGGGAUGCCUGUCCGAGCGUCAUUACGCACCCUCAAGCCCGGCUUGUGUGAUGGGCCCCGGCGUCUCGUUCGCGAGACGGGCCCGAAAGGCAGCGGCGGCGUCGACCCGAUGAGCCCGAGCGUAUGGGGACUUCUGUCACACGUUCGCGGUGCGGACCGGCGCCUGCUUGACUUUUCUGAUUAUCCAGGUUGACCUCGGAUCAGGUAGGGAUACCCGCUGAACUUAAG
rnacentral:misc_RNA from 1 species